rnacentral:snRNA from 1 species
GGAUGUGAGGGCGAUCUGGCUAUGACAUCUGUCACCCCAUUGAUCACCAGGGUUGAUUCGGCUGAUCUGGCUGGCUAGGCGGGUGUCCCCUUCCUUCCUCACCACUCCAUGUGCAUCCCUCCCAAAGGUGCUCGCUUGGUCGAAGACAAUGACCAUCCCCUCUAGAGGAGGACCGUUCUUCGGUCAAGGAUAUACGAGUAGUUAUGCUCCCCUGCUAGAACCUCCAGACAAGCUCUCAAAGAUAGUGUUGCUAUAAACAUUUUUUGUACAUAUUUUAAGGAGCAUACUGGAUGCACUUCCAUCAAG